UAAUUGACAAAGGCUCUGAACAUGGACUUACAAACAGCCUCAACAUUACGCUUUGCAUCUUGAAUUACAGCCUGACCUGACAUUGUUUGAAUUAAUCUGUCAACUGGCUUGAUGACACGGCCAAAGCGUGAUCUGAUCUGUCUGGUGGAACUAGGGUUAACUGGCGUAUGUGUGUUCAGAAUCACACCGGAAGACUGAGAGUGUGCUCGAGCAGGCGUAACAGUGCUUGCAGAUUCUAUGUUUCCUGAAUCUGAAUGGCUUUCAUCUUCAGUGACAUUCACAUCAGCUGUUACUUCAUCUGACUUCACAGAUGUACUUUCAAAAGGCGUCGCUGGAGCAGCUUGUGGUGUUGGAUUAACUAUAACAUCACCUGAGACUACAGUCGAAGUUGGUUCUUGACUCACAUCAGUCCACAGAUAUUUCAUCAGGCACAGGCAGGAAGUUGACCAGCAACAAGAGAUUGCGAUGAACCACCUUCUCCUGACCUGUGGCAGGGUGUCGAAUUCUGUAAGUGUGAGUUUGAGGCUUGUGGUCCACUACAGUGUAGACAGUGGACUCCCACCGGUCAGCAGUUUUUCUUUUUCCCCUCUCGGCCUUAUUCGCCAACAACACUUGGUCUCCCACGUCGAUGGUGAGCCCCUUCACUCGGCUGUUAUACAGAGCUGCAUGUCUCUUCUGUUCUUUGGUGGCAUGCUGUUGUGCAAUCACCAUGGCCUCUUUUAAAUCUUUAACAAGUGUGUCAACAAACUUGUCGUAGCUGAUCACAUUCUGAUCAUUCAAGACUGAACGGAAGAGAAUGUCAACUGGAAGGCGUGGUACCCUCCCAAACAUCAAAUAGAAGGGUGCAUAGCCUGUAGACUCAUGUGUCGUGCAAUUGUACAGGAACGCCAACGUCUGCAAACGUCUCGGCCAAUCCCUCUUGACAUCCGGAGACAGAGCACGGAUCAUGUUGCUCAGUGUCCUGUUAAAACGUUCCACACUACCGUUGCCCAUCGGGUGGUAAGGGGUGGUAUGUGAUUUCUUCACUCCUGAAAAUCUGAGAAGUUCACCAAUGAGCCGGCUCUCAAAACUUGCACCCUGGUUGCUGUGGAUACGUUCCGGUAGGCCAUAGAUACAAAAAUAUUUGUCCCACAGGACCCUGGCAACUUGCUUGGCGGAUUGAUCUCGGCAAACAAAAGCCUGAGCUAGCCUUGUAAAAUGGUCGGUCAUAACUAAGACGUCGAUGGAUUUAUUCUUAGCAUCUUCUGCCGACCAAAAAUCAAUACAGACCAGCUCUAGUGGUCUUGUAGAACUUAUGUUCUCCAGAGGAGCUCUGCCGGAAGGGUCGGGACUUUUGCUUAUGAUGCAGCGUUGACAGUGGCGCACAUAAUCACGUACUCUGUGCUCCAUGUUUAGCCAGAAGAAACGCUGCUUCGCCAAACUAACAGUCCUGAAUUGACCUUGAUGGCCACUGUCAUCAUGAACACUUCUCAGAAUCACAUCCACCAACGACUCUGGAACAACAUACUGGAAGCGUUUCGUCCUUAAUGACUGGUUAUGAGACACCCUGUAGAGAACACCAUUCCUCACAAUCAGUUUCUCCCAAUGUUUGAGGUAACGAAGCACUGCAGCUGCCUCUCCUGCUCUUUCCCGCCUUGUGGGUCUCUGGCGACUCUCAACGUAAGACAUGACUCUCGAUAACACUCUGUCAUUCAUCUGCUUGUCACGCAGGUCCUCCACAGAAAAUGCUGGCAAUGUGUCCUGGCCUGCAGGAACCAACUGAGGCAGGUGAUCCACGACUGCCAUAGCCCGUGUAUCAGCACCAGAUUCCCACUCCAUAUGAGAAGUCAAGACAGCAGUGACAUCCGAGCCUGCAACAGACCAUCUGAAAGCAUCCUGCACAGAGUUAGUUGAUAUCCUUUUCAUGU